rnacentral:lncRNA from 1 species
UAUAGUGGUCGACUAGUUUUGCCUGUUUUGGGCCACUAAUCCGGUCUCUGUUACAUGGGCCGACCCACCAUCUGUACAAUAUAAAUAGCAUAUAGUAUAUGUAUGUAUGCAACUGUCAUGGGCAUCAUAGGGAGCGAGAGGCAACAGCCAGGCUGGGAUAAGGCUAGAGAAUAAGAUUAAGAUGAGCUGGGAUAAGGCUAGAGAAUAAGAUUGAGAUGAGAGAAUUGUGGAGAGUUGGUUAGCAUCAGAUAAGUCCAAGAAAGUAGGAGUUAGUUGAGAGUUUUAGGAGAAGUUGGUUAGCCAUAGGGCUAUUUAUAAGCCGCACGGCAGCAAGGAAUAAAUCAAGCAAAGAUCAUUAUCAAACCAAUCUCUCCCUUGCAAUGACCCUCUCAAGCGCCUAGGGCUGCUACCCUAGAACCAAGCCUGCGGCAGAGGGGUAUAACCUCGCCGGAGAAGACAGCUAUCCCCAUGGACUGAAGGUCCAUGACACCUGGUAUCAGCUCCAGGUUAUCCUCACCACCACCAGCCGCCCAUCCCUCACCACCACCAGCCGCCGCACCAUCUGCUGCCGCAACGCCCUCCCACCCGCCCUCUCCAACUCUAGAUGCAUUCACUCGGCUCGAAGAGAAGUGGGACCAAUUCGUUGUGAUGUUCCACCGCUACAAGGAGAAGACAGAGAAGGAACUCCAAGCAGCGGUGCGGCUUCAGGCGGCAGCGCGAGUGUUCCUGGCACGCCGCCAGGUACAGUCCCUUCGUGGGGAGAAGCACCUUGCUGUGGCCUCCAGGGCCACCCCAUGGCCGUCAUCACAUGAGCAGGCCGUGGUGCGCCUGCAAGCCGCAGUGCGCGGCUUCCUUGUUAGGCGGGCGGUGCGGAAGCUGCACUUGUUGAUCAGCUCAUCGCUGCACCAACUCGCAGCCUGCGCGCCCAACCACCAGGUCUCGUCUAUACUUUUUGAACCCACUGUAGAAGUCGAGAUCUGGGUAUGCAGCCCCCCUGCACGGCCAAAGAGGGUCGUCUCCUUCAUUCGGGCAACUUCCUUGGUGCUGGACAGACCCAACAUAAGAACGGGCUGGUUCCUCCUUCACCUGUCAUCCAACGUGAAGUCCGCAGUUCAGCUCUUUCCUUGGGAUCCAGGAGGACAGGAGGACAUAGCUGGAGUUCAAAUUUAUAUUUUAGUUCCACAAUUAUUUUGUAUUUUCGUCUUAAAUAAUAAAGGUAAGCCGAGAUGUAAAAGGCUUAACCUUAAGUCGUGUCAGGUAAGUCUAUGGCAGCUCGAGGACGAGCUGGUCCUCAAGGGAGGGGGAGAUGUCAUGGGCAUCAUAGGGAGCGAGAGGCAACAGCCAGGCUGGGAUAAGGCUAGAGAAUAAGAUUGAGAUGAGCUGGGAUAAGGCUAGAGAAUAAGAUUGAGAUGAGAGAAUUGUGGAGAGUUGGUUAGCAGUAGAUAAGUCCAAGAAAGUAGGAGUUAGUUGAGAGUUUGUAGGAGAAGUUGGUUAGCCAUAGGGCUAUUUAUAAGCCGCAUGGCAGCAGGGAAUAAAUCAAGCAAGAUCAUUAUCAAACCAAUCUCUCUCUCUUGCAAUGACCCUCUCAAGCGCCUAGGGCUGCUACCCUAGAACCAAGCCUGCGGCAGAGGGGUAUAACCUCGCCGGAGAAGACAG